AGCAUAAACAUCCACUGCCUCUAGCUGUGCUCUGCAUAAACAGUCUGGAGAACCUCAUUAAUACAGGACAUCUCAUGGUCUGAGUCUUUUUGUGUGUAUGCUUCAUCUUCCUGGCUAUGGGAUUCUGGAGGUCACUUUGACAGCACCAAUGUUCUUGGAAAGGAAAUGGAACCUUUUGGGAUCUUGCCGCACAACUAUCCAGUAAGCGCACCUGAUUUAUAAGCUUUUCAUAAAGAUGGGAAGGUUGACAUAACCUCCAGAGGGAACACCAUUCCAGAAAGGGGAAGCCAUCACAGAAGAAUCCCACUUCCAAAUCCAAAUUUCCUGAAGAGCUAUCAAUCUUCUGCGAUGGAAUGGGAAUACUGAAUGAGUUAUUCUGACUGGAGAAAGCAUGCCCGCAAGUUCCCUGGGAUUAAGUUACUUUAAAGAUAGACAGAAAACUUCGAAUGACAUCCAGAAAUCGAAGGGAAUCCAAUGCUUUAGGUGUCACAUAGCUGUAAUGGCUAUUACCUAACAAUAAGAGU